GUAUUGGUGGUGCUGUGGCAGAUUCUUGCCUUCCAUGCAGGAAAGCCAGGUUCAAUUCCCGGCCAAUGCA
rnacentral:tRNA from 1 species